rnacentral:snRNA from 2 species
AUCGCUUCUCGGCCUUUUGGCUAAGAUCAAGUGUAAACAUACAAGAAGAUUUUUUUUACAAGAAGAUUUUAAUUGAAAUGAGGUGUGAUAUUCAUACAUAGUCCUAGAAUUGGACAUAUCUAGGAGACAAAAUUAAGU